GCGUGGUUCUUCGCCUCUCUUCGUCGUCUUCGUAGCGGAGCUCCACGUAGUUCUUCGUGGAACGGAAGGUGCUCCGCGUCGUGGUCACUGGCGGCGCCGGGUUCGUGGGGAACCAUCUGGUGGACUGCUUGAUCGCGAGGGAGGACAGCGUCAUCGUGGUGGACAAUUUCUUCACGGGGCGGAAGGAGAACGUGCUGCACCAUUUGGGGAAUCCCAACUUCGAGCACAUUCGCCUUGAUGUGGUGAAUCUUCUGCUCUUGGAGGUGGAUCAGAUCUAUCACAACAGAUGCCCCGCAUCGCCGGCCCACUUUCUAGUUCAACCCCGUGAAGACGAUCAUAUCCUUUUCUCAUCCUCCAUUCCUUUAUCAUCGCUUUACGUACCAGCGACAAAGAUGGAUCCUUUGAGGGUUUUUUUUUCCAAUAAAAAUCUUCCAUUUCUACUCAGAUUUGUCCUUUCUUCGUUCUUUCUUGAUUUGAGUUUGUUACUAAAAAGACCUAUCUUCAUUCUUUUUGGAUUUAUAUCGAUCUUUUCAUUUUCUCAUCUUUUUCCAGAGAAGUUUGUGUCUAGUAGAAAAACAUCGAUCUUUUGAUCGAGCAAAAGGAGGAAGAGAUUAUGAUUCUUGUUACUUGUGCAACGCUUAAUUCACUCUUUUUUUUUUUUUUUUUUUUUUUGCGCUGCUGUGCACAAGAACAAUGUGGUUGGAACUCUCCACAUGCUCGGCCUGUCCAAGCGAGUCGGCGCCAGGUUUCUUCUCACAAGCACCAGUGAAGUGCAUGGUGAUAUCCCUGCAACAUCCACGAGUUGAGGCCUACUGGGGCAAUUCCAAUCCAAUCGGCAGACUCUUGUCCUCAACCAUUUUGGUGUUAAGAGUUGCUAUGAUGAAGGUAAGCGAACAGCAAGGACUUUAACCAUGGAUUAACAUCGCGGAGUCCAAGUGGAGGUCCUCUAUCACCAUAGACCAAAGUGCAGCAACUGCAAUGCAAAUCUACCAUAAAUGCUCGGACACAGGUCGCUCGGACUUUUAAAGUCCGAGCGAACAGCAAGGACUUUUAAAUGCAAACUUGAGCGAUCCUUGUUUCAUGUCACAGGUCAGAAAUGCUGGGAUCUUCAACACUUACAUGCCUCGGAUGUGCAUUGAUGACGGUCAAGUUGUGAGCAAUUUUGUUGUUCAGGCUUUCAGGAAGGAUCCUUCAACUGUAUAGGGAGGGAGAUGGAAAGCAAACCAGGAGCUUUCAGUUCUUCUCUGAUCUGGUGGAGGGGGGCUGGUGAAGUUGAUGGAAGGAGAACACACCAGUCCAUUCAACCUAGGGAACCCCGGAGACUUCACCAUGUUGGAGCUUGCAAAUGUGGUGCAGGGCAUGAUUGAUCCCAAUGCCAAAAUAGAGUUCGAGUUCAGACCAAACACAGCCAGACAUCACUCGGGCUGGGAGCCAAAGAUCUCCCUCCGAGAUGGUCUUCCCCUCAUGCGUAUCUUUGCCGACCACUUAGACAAUGAUCCAAGCACCACAACUACUGCUCUGACUGAAAAUGGAUCCUUCUGAAAAUGUAUCAGUAUAUUAUCAACAAUUAUUUUGUUCA